rnacentral:lncRNA from 1 species
AGUAGUUUCUCAGAAAGCUUCUUUCUAUUUUUUUCUGAAGGUAUUUCUUUUUUCACCAUAGGUCUCAUAGCAUGCCCAAAUAUCUCUUUGCAGAUUCUACAAAAACAGUGUUUCCAAACUGCUGAAUGAAAAGAAAGGUUUUCACCAUUGGCCUUAAUGAGCUCCCAAAUAUCCAUUCACAGAAUGGACAAAAACAGUGUUUGCAAUCUGCUGAGAUGAAUGCAGUCAUCACAAAGCAAUUUCUCAGGAAGCUUCUUUCUAGAUUCUAAAAAAACAGUGUUUCCAAACUGCUGAAUGAAAAGAAAGGUUUAACUCUGUGAGAUGAAUGCACAAAUCACAAAGCAGCUUCAAAGAAAACUUCU